AAAGUGCUGGGAUUACAAGCAGGAGCCACCACGCCUGGCCCAAGAUGCUGUUUUUUAAAAAAAGACCUCUGUCCAACUUCUUUGCUGCACAGAUGGGGAAACUGAGGCCCAGAGAGGGACAGCAAUGGUUUUCCCUAAAAGCCCCCACCCAGGCAAAGACAAAGAUGAACAGAGUGGGGCAGGCAGCAGGGGGCUAGUGUCCUCACCGUCAUGGUGACAGCUCCUGGCGGCAGCUCCCAGCGGCUCCUGGAGGCCUGUGCUCAGGGUCUCAACUCGUGGUCAAGCUUAUAUCCUAGAAUAUUACACAUUAACUCCCUCAAGGUCCUAGGUGAGGACUUUGCCCCUUCUACCUUGUGUCUCCCCGCCUGCAUCUCCCAGUACCCAGCACAAACAGGCAGAAGACUCCUCAGCCAGCUCCACCCCACCCAGCCCGGAGCAUCCUCCUGGCCUCCCUCCAGCCCAGCCUCCCCCUCCUCAGCGCUCCCAGAGCCCGAGAGGGGAAGCAGCCCCAGCUCUGCCCCCACACAAACCGCAAUGCAGCCGCUUGACAGCUCUCCCAGCCUCCCUCACUUAGCCCAGCUU
rnacentral:lncRNA from 10 species